rnacentral:ribozyme from 1 species
UACCCAGCAACUCCUAUCCCCACCUCCUCGCGGAACUGACCGGGAUACGAACAAUUUUAGGAAAAAUCGGGUAACCAACCCCGGUGGGAAUUCUGGUCGUAUGCAAACAGCGAAGG